GAUUGGUGCUUUAUUGCAGGGCUCUGGUCUUUCUGGUUUUGGGGAUCCUGACUGCUUUUAAGGGCUGGAAGCUGUAAGGGCAGCAUCUCUGCAUGGAGGCUGCUUCCUUUGGGGUGUGGGCUGAGUGUUUGUUUUUGGAAUGGGGUCAUUGGUUUUUUCUGUAUUGCUGGAUUGUAAUUUCACUUUCUGGGAGCUGCUGACCACAUUUAAGGUCUGUCAGCAGAAGGAGCAGCAACUGCACCUGGAGGCUGCUUCCUUUAGAGUGUGGGGUGAACCCUUGAAACGGGGUGAGUGAGUCUUUAUUCCAGGGUUGCAAUAUCUUGUUUUUGGGAGGAUCCUGACCCCGCUUAAGGGCUGGCAGCCUUUAAGGUGGUAUCUGUCUUUAGAGACUGUCUCCUUGGGAGUGUGGGGUGAGGGCUGGUCCUUGCGAAAGGAUGAGUGAUUCCUUCUUGUUUUAGGGCUGUGAUCUUUCCUGUUUUUGGGGCAUCCUGACCACAUUUGAGUGCUGGUAGAUGUAAGGGCAGCAUUGAUCUCUGGAGGCUGUCUCCUGUGGAGCAUGGGGCUGUUAUGCACUGCUUCCAACCGUGCAGAGUUGUUUAAGGGCAUUCUGUGCACCGUUAGGUGUAAUAAGUCUUCAUCUUUAUAGGAAGCCAAGGUUUGUCCUCUUCUGGACCGCUGUACUCAGCAUCACCCCAGAUAUCUCCAUCCUAAUUGUCUGGAGAUGCUCUCUGGUUCCCAACAGUGUGAUGAAGUGAAGCCCCUGCUCUGCUGAAUACUGGGACUGGCCCAGAGAGGCUCUGAUGGAUGUGGAUUAUCCCAGCUGGAGUACUUGGUACCAUUGGUGGUGAUCUCGUCCAACUGCCACACAACGAACAGGAACAUCCACAGCCAGAUCAGUGCCCAGAGCCUGACCCAGCCUCACCUUGGAAGGGACAGGGCAUCCAUCAUGUCUGGGUGUUGAAAGGCUGUUACCAGAUCACCUCGGAGCCUUCACUUCUGCAGGCUGAACAGCUCCAGCUCUCUGUCUUUAUAGGAAAGGCAUUCCAUCCCUUGGUUCAUAUCUGUGGCCAUUCUCUGGAUGUGCUCCAACAGCUCCAUGUCUGUCCUGCACUGCAGGCAUCCACAUCCACACACAGCACCUCCAGGUGAGGCCUCCCAGCGCAGAGCAGAGGGGCAGGACCGCCUCCCUUCGCCUGCUGACCGCACGUCUUUGGAUGGAGCCCAGCAUACGGUUGGCUUUCUGGGCUGGAAGGCGCAUUGCUGAGUGCCACUACUCAGCCUGUUGAGGUCCCUCUGGAUGGCAUCCCGUCCCUCUGGUGUGUCACCGCACCCCACAGCUUGGUGUCAUUAGGGUGCACUCCACCCCACUGUCAAUGUCACUGAUGAAGGGGCAAUCCCAGAUAUUUGUGCAAACUCAGCAAAGAACACCUUGAGAGCAGCCCCACAGAGAAGGGCUUGUGGAUCCUUGUGGGUGAGAAGCUGGACGUCAGCCAGCAGAGCGGGCUUGCAGCCUGGAAGGCCAGCUGUGUUCUGGGCUGCAUUAAAAGAGGAGCGGCCAGCAGGGAGAGGGAGGUGAU